UACAGAGGUCCCAAGCGUUGUUCGGAUUCACUGGGCGUAAAGCGCACGUAGGCGGCUUUCUAAGUCAGGGGUGAAAUCCUGGAGCUCAACUCCAGAACUGCCUUUGAUACUGGAGAGCUUGAGUCCGGAAGAGGUGAGUGGAACUCCGAGUGUAGAGGUGAAAUUCGUAGAUAUUCGGAAGAACACCAGUGGCGAAGGCGGCUCACUGUCCGGUACUGACGCUGAGGUGCGAAAGCGUGGGGAGCAAACAGGG
rnacentral:rRNA from 1 species